GACGGAGGGAGCUAGCGUUGUUCGGAAUUACUGGGCGUAAAGCGCGCGUAGGCGGCUUUGUAAGUUAGAGGUGAAAGCCCGGGGCUCAACCCCGGAACUGCCUUUAAGACUGCAUCGCUUGAAUCCGGGAGAGGUGAGUGGAAUUCCGAGUGUAGAGGUGAAAUUCGUAGAUAUUCGGAAGAACACCAGUGGCGAAGGCGGCUCACUGGACCGGCAUUGACGCUGAUGUGCGAAAGCUAGGGGAGCAAACGGG
rnacentral:rRNA from 1 species